CCCAAUUCCAAGAACUCCCUCAGUCAUGGGCAAACUAGACUUUUCCUAGUCACUGUCUGGGAAGUUGGCUGUGAAAACUGGAAAGUUUCAUAAAUAGAGUUGAAGCUGCCACUGUCCUGAGUGUCAUCAUCAGGACCUUUGGCUGGUGAUGGCUCUAGCUUUAUGGUCUUGUCACAAAGGUUCUGCCUGGACACGUGCAAACCUGGGCUGAAAUCCCAGCUGUGCCUAUAAGAAGUCUACCUCAAAUUUAAAAACAACAACAAGAAAGAGUUAAGUCACACAGCCUGGGAGCGGUAGAUGGGGAAUUUGUAACAGGGUUGUGGAGCCCAGAGCUGCUGCUCCCACCGCUACGGUAUCACAGUGUCUCUUAGCACUAGAGAUGGUCUCAUUCCUCUUCCUUAUUUUAAAAGCAUCUUGUUCUUCGCUGAAUUUCUUUUUGCCUCCUCUUGUCCGGUGCCUCCUCAGGAAGCUCUUGAGAAAACAGGUGCUGAAGGAGGCAGCAGCUUUCAGGUAACCUAACAUCCGAGGAGGUGAUCCAGCCCACGCUCACGAGGAAGCCGUUCCCAGCCUUCCAUGGGAACCAGAUGAAGAAAUAAUAAAGAAAAUGCCAAGAAAAUUAGCCCCGCAAGCCAGGAAGCCCGGGGCCUUUGCUCAACCCACAGGCCGCAAGAGACAGUGCCAGAUAUCCAGAAAGCCCCAUCCAUGGGUCGGGCAUGGCUCCCAGAAGCUCCUAGGGAUGCAGGUGUGGGGUCGUUGAGAAGCUCGGCUUCUUCAAGUCAUUUGGGUGACGUGGGAUUUUUCAUUGUCACCUCCUUCUGCAUCAUGGCUGGGCUGAGUGACCCUCACUGUGGACAAGGACCAUGCUGUACACUCUGGGAGCUGCCAACACCCCCAGGGCCCAACCCUGCUGGAGGGUAAGCUCAUGUGAUCAAGGAGCUCUGAUGCCUCUGCACAUGCGGUGAGGGCCAGGAGGCAUCUGACAGCAAUCCCGGGGCAGCCCAACCCAUGAACUGGAGAGGAGUUACCCCAACCACAGGGGCCUGGGACAGGGCCUGCAAAGGAGACCUGAGUGACAGGGUCGUGGCCAAAAGAAAAGGUGCCUGGGCAUCCACAUGCUCUUGUCCAUUCUGUCACUCCUAAAUCUCUAUUCUCUGCAUUUCCAGUGGCUGCCUGGUCUGCAUCCUCAUCCACAGCUCAGGUCCCUCCCAGUUCCCUUUAUUGUCAGCCCCACUCCUGCUCUGCACAGGCUGUGCUCCUCCCCUGUGGCCAUGCCACCUCCCACUUACCCUCUGACCUCAGGGUGUCUGCAGAGCCCACUGCGGCUCCCUUGAACUGAGACCAAGGAGGCGCCGCUCAUGACCCUUGCUUUGGAAACUUCCACUGUUUCUUUCCUCUCCCACCCCCUAACCAUGAAUCUGAUAAACGGUCCAUGGUCCUUUGAUAACAGGUGUUGGUGGUUAACAUCUGACUCUAGUCAGACGUCUGCAUUUUAACAGAGGCACUUAUGAGAAUGCCCUGACAAGUCUGGUCUCACCAGCAUUGCAGGCAGCAGGGCCCACCUUGCAGGUGGGCUGGGGGAUGUUAUUAGGCAGACAGAGCAUUUUUGUCUCUAUAAUCAAAGCACUGAAUAACAUGUUUAUUCCACUUCUCCUAAAACUUGUCGAGGCCCAGCUAGCACCCACCCACCAUGAUAUGGUUUGGCUCUGUGUCUCCACCCAAAUCUCAUCUUGAAUUGUACUCCCAUAAUUCCCACGUGUUGUGGGAGGGACCUGGUGGGAGAUAAUUGAAUCAUGGAGACAGUUUCCCCCAUACUUUUCUCCUAGUAGUGAAUACAUCUCACAAGAUCUGAUGGUUUUAUCAGGGGUUUCCACUUUUAUGUCUUCCUCACUCUCUCUUUGCCUGCUGCCAUCCAUGUAAGAUGUGACUUGCUCCUCUUUGCCUUCCACCAUGAUUGUGAGGCUUCCCCAGCCACUGGACCUGUAAGUCCAAUUAAACCUCUUUCUUUUGUAAAUUGCCCAGUCUCAGGUAUGUCUUUAUCAGCAGCAUGAAAACAAGCUAACACACAACCCACCAGACCACCCCUCCGGUAUGCUCACACGCCCCCUUGCAAAGGACUGCAAACUGGCCAGAGGGCACAGGUGUCCCUUUUCUAAGAGUUAUA
rnacentral:lncRNA from 10 species